CCUACGGGUGGCAGCAGUGAGGAAUAUUGGUCAAUGGACGCAAGCCUGAACCAGCGACGCAGCGUGCAGGAAGAAGUAUUUCGGUGUUUAAAGCUCUAUCAGCAUGGAAAAAAAUGGCGGUACGUGACUCAGAAACCCCGGCUAACUACGUGCCAGCAGCCGCGGUACUACGUAGGGGGCAAGCGUUAUCCGGAUUUACUGGGUGUAAAGGGAGCGUAGACGGGUGUGCAAGUCUGAAGUGAAAGCCCGUGGCUCAACCGUGGAACUGCUGUUGAAACUGUAUAGCUUGAGUACUGGAGAGGCAGGCGGAAUUCAUAGUGUAGCGGUGAAAUGCGUAGAUAUCAGGAGGAACACCAGUGGCGAAGGCGGCUUGCUGGACAGCAACUGACGUUGAGGCUCGAAAGCGUGGGGAUCAAACAGGAUUAGAUACCCGUGUAGUC
rnacentral:rRNA from 1 species